rnacentral:lncRNA from 1 species
AAUCAAUGGAGAGGGCACUGAUGAGAGCCCUUAUUGAUUGGCUUGAAGAAAGUUGAUGGACAGUUUAUCACCUUGUAAGGCGGCGGCUGGCGACCAGCCCCGCCAAGACCAAUGAAGCUCUUCUGCUGGUACUGUCGAAGGCUUGGGAACCCUUCGCCAGUUCGUGAGCUCAAGCAACUUCUUGUUACUAAUAAUCCUAACGUGGUUUUUUAAGUGAAACAAAGACGCAAGCUAAUAAUCU